rnacentral:rRNA from 1 species
UACGUAGGGUGCAAGCGUUAUCCGGAAUUAUUGGGCGUAAAGAGUUCGUAGGUGGUACACCAAGUUUGUAGUUAAAUAUGGUCGCUCAACGAUCAAAUCGCUACGAAAACUAGUGUGCUGGAGAGUGGCAGAGGUAACUGGAAUUCCACAUGUAGGGGUAAAAUCCGUUGAUAUGUGGAGGAACACCAAAAGCGAAGGCAGGUUACUGGGCCAUUUCUGACGCUGAGGAACGAAAGCGUGGGGAGCAAACAGG